UUCUCCAGUGUGCUGAGUUCUCCAAGUCUUUGUCCAAUGAGGCCGGCUGCCCUGGGUGUAAGACCCUGAUGUGAAGCUGCACGCCGUGGUUCCUGUUGAUGGCAUGUGGUGGUUGCCGAGGAUGCAGACGCAAAUGAACCAUGAUCAAGAAGCCACAGAUCCAAGCUCUCCCACAAGGACUGAAGACGGAGUGUGAACAAGGAAUGUAGCACUUCUGGAGACAGGCACCUGUUCAUCUCAGAGGCACACAGAGUGCUUUACAGAAAUGCACUAGAAGAAAUGAUUGCUACCCUUUAAAGAGGAAGCGAUUAUCACUCUUAGUAAGGAUGCGGUCAGCCGCUGUCCCACUGCCUCGGCUGGAACCCUUCCUGAAGCCUCCUUGCCUUAGCUGCUGCUGCUGCUGACAGCUUUGGGA
rnacentral:lncRNA from 1 species